UACGUAGGUGGCAAGCGUUGUCCGGAUUUACUGGGCGUAAAGAGCGCGCAGGCGGCUGGUCAAGUCCGAUGUGAAAGCUCCCGGCUUAACUGGGAAACGGCAUCGGAAACUGAUCGGCUUGAAGGUGGGAGAGGGUAGUGGAAUUCCCGGUGUAGCGGUGAAAUGCGCAGAUAUCAGGAGGAACACCGGUGGCGAAGGCGGAUCUCUGGGCCGAUACUGACGCUGAGGAGCGAAAGCGUGGGGAGCGAACAGG
rnacentral:rRNA from 1 species